UACGUAGGGUGCAAGCGUUAAUCGGAAUUACUGGGCGUAAAGCGUGCGCAGGCGGUUUGUAAGUCUGUCGUGAAAUCCCCGGGCUCAACCUGGGAAUUGCGAUGGAGACUGCAAGGCUAGAAUCCGGCAGAGGGGGUAGAAUUCCACGUGUAGCAGUGAAAUGCGUAGAUAUGUGGAGGAAUACCGAUGGCGAAGGCAGCCCCCUGGGAUAACACU
rnacentral:rRNA from 1 species